UCAACUAAGUAUAAAAAAACAAAACAUAUAAAAUCUCCAUUGCAUCAAGUACAAGUCAUUGUAGCAUUCUUGUCCUUGAUUUCUCAAUUGUUGAUUGGGGAAAGAAAAAUUACCUUGUAUUUUUAUCAAUAUUCAAUGUCAUCACCCUUCCUUUGUUUCCCCCCAUUUUAAACCCCAUAUCCCCAUGAAGCACUUUUUUUGAGGAAUAGCACAUUGGCUUCUUUUGAAGAAACAACUACUUUCUAAGCUAUGAAUACAAUGCAUAAAUGGUGUGAAUAAACAUCAAGAUGGCCGGGGCAUUUAAGAAUUGUAUCACACUAUGUUGCGCCAAAAAGCCUUCGGUAAGAAUUUAUGUAUAAUAAGUUUUUAUAGAUGAAUAAAUGGAUUGCAAUUAUCGUAUUCUUAUUAGGCUAUAUGUUAUGAGGGGCUUUAUUGAGAAACAAAUAUUGUCUCGUGACACAUUUUUUUUUAACUUUUCACAUUACUAAAGGGGUGUUGUGGGGUUUUGUUGUCGCCUUAUAUGAAAUGUGUAUUGGGUUGACGUGACUAGAUAUGUUUGGGUGGAUAUAUUAUGUUAUUAAAAAAAUCACCUUUCCCUUCCCAUGUCGUGAGUUACCCCAAGCCCUCGACCCGCGCACUGAUUGACGCCCCCAUGUGAUGGUGCCUGCGCCUCUUGGCCUGCUGAUGCGGCUUGAAUGGCCCCCUUUGAAGUUCCAUAACACAUGAUCUUAGAACUUAUACAUAUUUUGUUAAAAAAAUGGUAACGCAAUUAGAGUUGAUGAAAUAUAUAUCGAGAAAAAAUAUCAAACAGACAUGUUUGGUUACAUAAAUAUAAUAUUUAAUUUAUUGAGAAAAAAAAAUCAAGCAGCUUGGUUAAAUAAAUGGAUCAUAAUAAAGUCACACCCUAAAAUCUUUCACACCCAGUAUACGGCCGUAUAACGUUAUACAACCUAUAUAAAAUAAUUUGACAUGACAAAUAUAGGGUGUGUAAUGUUAUACGACUCGUAUGGAUGGAAAAAUAUUAGGUCGUAUAACAUUCUAUACGAGUUACAUAACAUUAUAUGAGGCUCGUAUAACUCUAUAUGAGUCGUAUACAUAUAGGGGCGUGAAAAUAAGAUUUUAAGGGUGUGUAAAUAGUAGAAACCUAAGUAUAAUAUAUAAAUACAAUUGUAACGUCACUACUAACUUUCAUACAUUUACUUUUGUAAGCUGGUCCCUUGAUGGUCAGACGAGACACAAAACAUUGCAAAACUAGGUUAAUUAAUUACUAAAGUCAUACUUUGUAAGUUGUAAGUCAAUAAAAAAAAAAAUAGUGACAUGUCUUUCGAUUUUUCUUUUUAUUCUUAACCCAUAGAAGCACAAAAGUCUUUGUUCCUCCAACACGUCUGGAUGCCCGUUGUUAAAAAUAAUUAUUUUAUGUAUUAUUAUUUUUCUAGUAUUGUUUAUCAAGAAAAGAAAAUAAAAAAAAAUCACAGAUGAUCUUACUAGCAUCAUGUAGUUAAGAUUGUGAGGUAUGGUGGGACUUGAGUUGGGGCAUGAGUUGACACAUGGAGUUCGAGCCCCCCCCCCCCCCAUCGGUGAGUGACGUAUCCGGAGGCUAUAGCGGGGCUUGGGUUGGGGCGUGGCUUGGCAGUUUAUUAAAAAAAUUGCAAAAAAUUAAAAAAAUACACACAACAUUAAAAAAAGCCUAAAAUUUUAUUAAAAUCUUAAAACGAUUACAAAAUAAAAAAUAAACCUAAAAACGAUUACAAAAUAAAAAAAAACCUAAAAACG
rnacentral:lncRNA from 1 species